UGUUUAGACUUAAAGAGGAAAAGUUGACGUCUAUUUUCAAUAUAAAUAACGCUUAAACUAAACGCUAACUAAAUAUCAUCUGUUAGUGGCAGAAACAAGACAAGAGAGAUGAAGUGGAUCUGAGAAAAAUAACAUUGCCAAGACAUUCCAAAGGAACAAGCCUUCAAUACCCUGCAAUAUGCUGGAUUGUCCAGUUUGAUAACUACUUCAGAAUUUAACUAGCAGCACUUCAUCAUUAAAUGAGGUUCAGAUACCAAGCAUCAGUUUUAUUGCCAAAAUUUGGGAUGAAAGCAGAUUCUUUCUUGACACUUAUGUAAUUGGCACUUCCGAAGCAGUUGAGUUAAUCUAGUAGUAAUCAUUGUUGCAUUCCCAACUAUUGCAUUCCCAACAAAGAGCAUGCAGUAAACUUCCAAAAAGUUUAAACAGAGGUUAAACUGUGCUGCUACACAAGUCAUCAUCAUUCGACUACGCAAUCGACUUGUACUACCCCUGCUCUCUACAUAGCACGGAAUUUUCAUCUUCAAAUUGUUUGGCUGUUUGCGAUGUGUGAUGGCGUUUCCUUGAGGACGAUGAGAUGGUGAUUUUGGUGACGAGAGUAUUACUUUACGUGAGUAGGUCAUGAUGGGCUUUAUCGAAUCCAUUCUGAUUCGGGACCGAAAUUCUUUGAAACGAGAAUUGGGAUUGUGAUUUGCUACAGCCAGUUAGCAUAAGGUAGGCUACAUCAUUUAAUAAUUACAAGUGCAUAUCUGGGCUCCCUUCUUUUCUGUGGCUCCGUUUCCCUAACUAACCACUAACCAACGCCCGCC